rnacentral:rRNA from 1 species
GACGAACGCUGGCGGCGUGCUUAACACAUGCAAGUCGAACGGAAAGGCCCUGCUUUUGUGGGGUGCUCGAGUGGCGAACGGGUGAGUAACACGUGAGUAACCUGCCCUUGACUUUGGGAUAACUUCAGGAAACUGGGGCUAAUACCGGAUAGGAGCUCCUGCUGCAUGGUGGGGGUUGGAAAGUUUCGGCGGUUGGGGAUGGACUCGCGGCUUAUCAGCUUGUUGGUGGGGUAGUGGCUUACCAAGGCUUUGACGGGUAGCCGGCCUGAGAGGGUGACCGGCCACAUUGGGACUGAGAUACGGCCCAGACUCCUACGGGAGGCAGCAGUGGGGAAUAUUGCACAAUGGGCGGAAGCCUGAUGCAGCAACGCCGCGUGCGGGAGGACGGCCUUCGGGUUGUAAACGGCUUUCGCCGGUGACGAAGCGUGAGUGACGGUAAUGGGUAAAGAAGCACCGGCUAACUACGU